rnacentral:rRNA from 1 species
CCUACGGGAGGCAGCAGUGGGGAAUAUUGGACAAUGGGGGGAACCCUGAUCCAGCGACGCCGCGUGAGUGAAGAAGUAUUUCGGUAUGUAAAGCUCUAUCAGCAGGGAAGAAAAUGACGGUACCUGACUAAGAAGCCCCGGCUAACUACGUGCCAGCAGCCGCGGUAAUACGUAGGGGGCAAGCGUUAUCCGGAUUUAAUGGGUGUAAAGGGAGCGUAGGCGGUGCAGCAAGUCUGAUGUGAAAGGGCGGGGGCCAACCCCCGGACUGCAGUGGAAACUGUUGAACUUGAGUAAAGGAGAGGUAAGCGGAAUGCGUGGUGUAGCGGUGAAAUGCGUAGAUAUUAGGAGGAACAC